rnacentral:lncRNA from 1 species
CACACUGCCGUGCACGAGGCCGCACAAGUUUGCAGUAGAUGCAGAUGGUGAAGAUGAAAAGGAUGGGAGAGGGUGGAGGAAGUCAGCUUCGAGAGAGUGAAAUCAAGAAGUCACUGUCGAGGUGCACGGACUGAAACAAGACUCGGAUAUGAAAGGAGAGCUAAUGUGAGAGAGAGAAAAGAUCUUUGCUUUGUAGCCAGUUAAACAUCUGGAAUUGUGGGAUCCUCCCAAACUGAGAUGUUUUACUGCAUCGGACCUGCAACAUUUAGAGAGAAGCAAGCCCACCCUGCGACCUUUUCUCACCUCCAGUGCACUCACCGCCUAUUCUUUAAGGGGCAGAGAGGCAGAGGUAGCAAGGGAGCGAGCAGGCACUAGAAAGAGGAAGCAGCAUGCGUCGUAGUGGCUUCAACAUCAGCACUUCUCUGUUUUGUUAACCAAAUAAUGAGGCGCUCGGAGGAACAUUUCAUACUAGCUACGACCGAGGCAUCAUGAGGCCGAAGCACCGCUGGACCGUCCUGCACGUGUUCAUCUUGGCAGGGAUGCUUCUCACCUUAAAAGCUGACGAUGAACAUCCAGAUUGUGAAGUUGAAGUCAAAGUCCGUCAAAACACGGUUUAUGAAGCGGUCGUGGGAGAAGAGCUUCGGAUUAACUGCACAGUUGAAUUCUGCAGCGACGCCCCGCCUCCGGUCUCCUGGUACAAAUGUGGGACGACUGACGUCCGUGUCAGCGUCAGCGGUCACAUUAAAACUGAGUGGAAACCUUUAAAGUCUUUCGUGGGGACAACGUUUUUGAUCUUUCUAAAGGUUCACAGAAACGACUCAGGUGUGUAUCAGUGUAAAAGUGGAGGAAGUGGCAGCCACCACAUCAACGUCUCUAUCGACAGUGAGUGACACCUUGAGAGUAAUGCAUCAAUAAUCAAUAAUAAAGGAACAUUUCCAUCUUUGUAUCAGUAAGACUUAUUAGCAUUGCAUGUGCUUUGUCUUGUAGGUGUUGGAGAGCCUGCCAAUGUUACAGAGAACAACGACACGUGUAAGUAUGAACUCUCGAGGGUUGUGCAGUAAUGCAUCCUGACUGAAGAAACCUGUGUUCUCAUAUUUCCACUGAAUCAUUUAGAAGCCUUCACUGUUUCCCAAAUAACGUGAUUGAAAUCCCUUUUGAGGGGUGGAUAAACAUUCUGAAUGCUUUUCAGGUGAUCUCACAUUGGAGACUUCCACGUUGGCUAAAGGAGCUUAAUUCACUCCCUCACAAUGACAUCGCGGUUACACAUGAAACAUUUCUUAACACAUGUCCGAAAUUGGAUGCAAAAUGUCCUCUUUUACCUUCCAGUGCCUGAGGACCACUUCUGGCCCUUCAUUUUCCGUGCUGUCGGGCUCGCCGUGUUUGUCGUCAUCAUAUUCGUUGUAUGUGUUGCGUCGUGCUGCAGGUGAGAAUUAUUUGGAUUUCUACAGCAGACUUCCUGCCGGAGGUCUAAUCUGACAAACAAAACCGUAUAAAAAAGCCACAAUUAAUACACAAUACAGUACAUAUUCACUAAAAUAAGUAUGGG